rnacentral:rRNA from 1 species
GAUUAUGGCUCAGGAUGAACGCUAGCGACAGGCUUAACACAUGCAAGUCGAGGGGCAGCAUAAAAGUAGCAAUACUUGGUGGCGACCGGCGCACGGGUGAGUAACGCGUAUGCAACCUACCUAUCAGAGGGAAUAACCGGCGAAAGUCGGACUAAUACCGCAUAAAACAGGGGCACCGCAUGGUGAUAUUUGUUAAAGAAAUUCGCUGAUAGAUGGGCAUGCGUUCCAUUAGGUAGUUGGUGAGGUAACGGCUCACCAAGCCGACGAUGGAUAGGGGAACUGAGAGGUUGGUCCCCCACACUGGUACUGAGACACGGACCAGACUCCUACGGGAGGCAGCAGUGAGGAAUAUUGGUCAAUGGGCGGGAGCCUGAACCAGCCAAGUCGCGUGAAGGAAGAAGGAUCUAUGGUUCGUAAACUUCUUUUGCAGGGGAAUAAAGUGCAGGACGUGUCCUGUUUUGUAUGUACCCUGAGAAUAAGGAUCGGCUAACUCCGUGCCAGCCGCCGC